rnacentral:lncRNA from 13 species
GGAAAACAAAAAUGAGCUUUUCGGUAUUAAUUUAAGGUUAUGCAUAAUGUUAGCAGUGUGGUUAGGGUUAAAGUUUGAAAUCACAUUUUAAGAAGACUUUGUGGGGUUUAUUGCCGCGUUCCAAACAACUGGGAACUCGGAAAAAUACGAGAUCAAAUCAUGACGUCAGUGAUCUACAGGUCGCAAAGACGGAGAUCUAUAAAGAGGUCCGAAUUCCCGAGUUGGAAUUCUCAGUUGAAUGACCGUUCAAAUCGAUUUUCCCAUUCGGAGCUCGGAACGCACUGAAAUCGGAAGUCAAAGAUUUCCGAGUUCCCAGUUGUUUUGAACGCGGCAUAAGACUUUGUGGAUGUCGUAAAUAGUUACGACCCAAAGGUAUGGGACCGCGCUCUUGAGUCUGGCAGACACCUGCAAUUUCAGAACAUCAGACAAAGGUAGCACAAGAAUUGCAAACUGUACCCUUAAAUACGUUGAAAUAAGUUCAUGUGAGUGGAAUUUAUGUUACAUGUCGAAAUAAAGCUUGUAGCCUACUUCAUGACUUCAAACGUCUAAAAAUAAAAGCUCACAUUUCCUGCAGAAGUCUAAUGUUACAAGCCAAGACCUUGGUCAACUCAUGAUACAAACGGAUAAAACUUGAUAUUUGUCGGUUGACAGCAUCACUCAGAUCUGCCUUACAUUGAAAUUACGCCGGGUAAAUGUUAAAACAUGCGAAUAUGCAACAGGAAUAGGAUUUUAGAAUAAAUUACCUGACACGGUUUUGCCUGCCUCUCUCCCCCCGAACUCUACCCGGCCUUCACCAAGACAGGAUCCUGUAGCCAAGGUGAUGGUGACGUUGCAACCCCACAUGCUGAGGUCAUUACUACAGUGGAACCUUGUAGUCGGACAGGACAGAGUGGAAAGGAAUGGACAUUAAACCACUGGCCCCUCAGCACCAAAACGAACACGCUAAAUAUCACAUUGGACAAGAAUGAUAAUGGACGUUGCAUUCAUCAACCAAUGGUUUGUGAUUAAGGAAGUUGGCCUUGCCAAAUCAGAGGGCUCUUAUGUCAUCCAGAGGUUACGUAACAGGAAGAAGAAGUGAGGUCGUCUUGGAUUCAUCCAGUGUCAUCAUCAC